rnacentral:rRNA from 1 species
UGGGGAUUUUUGCACAAUGGGGGAAACCCUGAUGCAGCGACGCCGCGUGACUUAGAAGGUCUUCGGGUUGUAAAAAUCUUUUCUAUGGGAAGAAAAUGACAGUACCAUAGGAAUAAGGACCGGCUAAUUACGUGCCAGCAGCCGCGGUAAUACGUAAGGUCCGAGCGUUGUCCGGAAUCAUUGGGCGUAAAGGGUACGUAGGCGGGUAAGCAAGUUAGAAGUGGAAUCCUAUAGCGCAACAAUAGUAAGCUUUUAAAACUGCUCAUCUUGAGGUAUGGAAGGGAAAGUGGAAUUCCUAGUGUAGCGGUGAAAUACGCAGAUAUUAGGAGGAAUACCGGUGGCGAAGGCGACUGUCUUGCCAUAACCUGACGCUGGGGUACGAAAGCGUGGGUAGCAAACAGG